GUUUAAAAUAAAUACUGAAGCAGAUUAACUUCUAAAUUAACUUCCACAUUCUCUGAAAGCCCUUUAACAGACAGAUGUAUUCAGCAGCCUAGGUAUUGUUCAUUGAAAAAAAUUAAGAAAGCUCUCCAUGCAUUGGGGUUUCACCAGCAGCAGAGUAGAUCUGAAUGUUUUGCUCAACAAGCAAGAAGAAAUUCCUAUGAUCACUUCAGAUAAAAUAGGUUUGUGGAAAAAGAAAAGGAAAAUGAGAAGAAAUUUAAAAGUCAGUUGAAGAACUACUGCCCUAGCAGUUCAAAACACAAAAGAAAGGACCAGACCACAAAGCUCCAAGAUGGUAGUGCAAAGCUGUUUCUUUAGUAGAGAAUAAAAUAUAAAGUAGGGGAAGAAAAGAUCCAUCUGCUGCAUUAAUUAGGUGUCCAGCUACUGACCUGGAGAACCACACUGAGGGAGCAGUGUCACAACGUUUUGUACAUACCGAGAUGCCGGACAUUCCACAUGGGAUCUAUACUGGAAUGUUGCUUGUAAAAUACAAUCAGCAGUGGAGGAGUUGUGAUGCUGCCAGCCAGAGUCCUACUGUAAAGCUCCUCUCUGGAAGUUAAGAUGAAAAGAAAUUGGGAAAGGAUGCCUGUAUGGCCCUAAAUCAGAUGAUUAUCCACAGACACAUAGCCUUUCACUUAACAGUUAAAUGCCACCACCAUAAUGUAAUCCCUGCCCCACUGGCACUCUCAGUUUAGGGGUACUUACGCUACAUUAAGUGCCAUCCACUUCUCCAACUGCUGAGUGAUGUUCUGUAAUUUCCACUCUGUCAAAUUAGCAACAAAAACUCCUGGAUUGAAAGAGCAGGUGUUGGCUUUCAUGGCAAGCUUUCGGAUGGUUUCUUUUUUGUAAUCUAGAAACCCAAUGUAAUUAUACUGUGGAAAAAAAGGGGAAGGGAGAAAGUACGAAUUAGUUUAAAAUAAAGUUUGCACAAU